UAGUUUGAUCCUGGCUCAGGACGAACGCUGGCGGCGUGCUUAACACAUGCAAGUCGAACGGGAACCUUUAUUUCGGUAAAGGUGAGAGUGGCAAACGGGUGAGUAACACGUAGGCAACCUGCCGACAGGAUGGGGACAACAUUCCGAAAGGAAUGCUAAUACCGAAUGAAGUCCGAGAGGGGCAUCCCUCUUGGAUGAAAGAUGGCCUCUGAACAUGCUAUCACCUGUCGAUGGGCCUGCGUCUGAUUAGCCAGUUGGCGGGGUAACGGCCCACCAAAGCGACGAUCAGUAGCCGGUCUGAGAGGAUGAACGGCCACAUUGGGACUGAGACACGGCCCAGACUCCUACGGGAGGCAGCAGUGGGGAAUCUUCCACAAUGGGCGAAAGCCUGAUGGAGCAACGCCGCGUGAGUGAAGAAGGUCUUCGGAUCGUAAAGCUCUGUUGCAGGGGACGAAAACCGGGUUUGAGAACAUUGAGCCUGGGUGACGGUACCUUGCGAGGAAGCCACGGCUAACUACGUGCCAGCAGCCGCGGUAAUACGUAGGCGGCGAGCGUUGUCCGGAAUUAUUGGGCGUAAAGGGAGCGCAGGCGGGCUGCCAAGUCCAUCUUAAAAGUGCGGGGCUCAACCCCGUGAGGGGAUGGAAACUGGCAGUCUUGAGUGCAGGAGAGGAAAGCGGAAUUCCCAGUGUAGCGGUGAAAUGCGUAGAUAUUGGGAGG
rnacentral:rRNA from 1 species